rnacentral:rRNA from 1 species
UACGUGAGGGGCGAACGUUGGUUCGGUGUCACUGGGCUUAAAGGGUGCGUAGGUGGUUGCGUAAGUAAGGUGAUGAAGCCCUCGGCGUUACCCCGGGGGAAUUGCGCCUUAUACUGCGUGGCUUGAGGAUUCAGGGGAAUGGGGAACUCCAGGUGUAGCGGUGAAAUGCGUAGAUAUCUGGAGGAACACCGGUGGCGAAGGCGGCGUUCUGGACUGCAACUGACACUGUAAAACGAAAGCCAGGGGAGCAAACGGG